ACGUAGGGGGCGAGCGUUGUCCGGAUUUAUUGGGCGUAAAGGGCGUGUAGGCGGUCUGUUAAGUCAGAGGUGAAAAUCCAGGGCUCAACCCCGGAACUGCCUCUGAAACUGGUGGACUUGAGUGCUCUAGAGGGCAGUGGAAUUCCCGGUGUAGCAGUGAAAUGCGUAGAGAUCGGGAGGAACACCAGUGGCGAAGGCGGCCUGCUGGGCAGUGGCUGACGCUGAGGCGCGACAGCGUGGGGAACAAACAGGA
rnacentral:rRNA from 1 species